UCGCGUUGUUCGUGAAAACUCACAGCUUAACUGUGGGCGUGCGGGCGAUACGGGCAGACUAGAGUACUGCAGGGGAGACUGGAAUUCCUGGUGUAGCGGUGGAAUGCGCAGAUAUCAGGAGGAACACCGGUGGCGAAGGCGGGUCUCUGGGCAGUAACUGACGCUGAGGAGCGAAAGCGUGGGGAGCGAACAGGAUUAGAUACCCUGGUAGUCCACGCCGUAAACGGUGGGUACUAGGUGUGGGUUCCUUCCUUGGGAUCCGUGCCGUAGCUAACGCAUUAAGUACCCCGCCUGGGGAGUACGGCCGCAAGGCUAAAGCUCAAAGGAAUUGACGGGGGCCCGCACAAGCGGCGGAGCAUGUGGAUUAAUUCGAUGCAACGCGAAGAACCUUACCUGGGUUUGACAUGCACAGGACGCCGGCAGAGAUGUCGGUUCCCUUGUGGCCUGUGUGCAGGUGGUGCAUGGCUGUCGUCAGCUCGUGUCGUGAGAUGUUGGGUUAAGUCCCGCAACGAGCGCAACCCUUGUCCUAUGUUGCCAGCGGGUUAUGCCGGGGACUCGUAGGAGACUGCCGGGGUCAACUCGGAGGAAGGUGGGGAUGACGUCAAGUCAUCAUGCCCCUUAUGUCCAGGGCUUCACACAUGCUACAAUGGCCGGUACAAAGGGCUGCGAUGCCGUGAGGUGGAGCGAAUCCUUUCAAAGCCGGUCUCAGUUCGGAUCGGGGUCUGCAACUCGACCCCGUGAAGUCGGAGUCGCUAGUA
rnacentral:rRNA from 1 species